CCUACGGGAGGCAGCAGUAGGGAAUCUUCCGCAAUGGACGAAAGUCUGACGGAGCAACGCCGCGUGAACGAUGAAGGCCUUCGGGUCGUAAAGUUCUGUUGUUAGGGAAGAACAAGUGCUAGUUGAAUAAGCUGGCACCUUGACGGUACCUAACCAGAAAGCCACGGCUAACUACGUGCCAGCAGCCGCGGUAAUACGUAGGUGGCAAGCGUUGUCCGGAAUUAUUGGGCGUAAAGCGCGCGCAGGCGGUUUCUUAAGUCUGAUGUGAAAGCCCCCGGCUCAACCGGGGAGGGUCAUUGGAAACUGGGAAACUUGAGUGCAGAAGAGGAAAGUGGAAUUCCAAGUGUAGCGGUGAAAUGCGUAGAGAUUUGGAGGAACACCAGUGGCGAAGGCGACUUUCNGGUCUGUAACUGACGCUGAGGCGCGAAAGCGUGGGGAGCAAACAGGAUUAGAUACCCUGGUAGUCCACGCUGUAAACGAUGAGUGCUAAGUGUUAGAGGGUUUCCGCCCUUUAGUGCUGAAGUUAACGCAUUAAGC
rnacentral:rRNA from 1 species